GUCACAUCAUGACAUUCUCUCUCCAAAACCCAGUUGUUCUCUGUGACGAUGCCAUAAAGUGACAUCUAAUGACUCAGGUGUGUGUACUGGGUGGCAGGGGCAUGUCACACACAAGCAUUCUCAACUGCAGCCUCAGUCUGGGAACGAGGUGGUGCGACCCUCAUUUCCGAGGGGCAGCUGCUGUUUUAGUUCCCAUCUUAUCAUUACUGGAAUUUCAAGUGUAGUACCAGAAACCAAAUUAAAAUUCACAGGAACGCUGCACUCUGUACUGUUUUCAGAUGUUCAGAUAUCUACAAACACUCGAGUAGAAUCAAGAUUAGAUUUUCAAGUCAUCAGCGUGAAUUAAGCUUUGAAUCGAUAUUCAACUCAGAACUGAGAGAGGAUUUUACACACAUAAUAGAACAUACUUAGCCAAAAAGUGCACAUUCUGUCUGGCACUUGCGGGAAACAGCCAGGCACAGCCAGGGACUGCAGGGGUGUGAGGAGAAAGAAGGCCUGUCCUUCAGACAUUGCAGGGCUGUCUACCUUUACUCUCCAGAGAGAUUCUGCUUUAACCACCAAAAGCAAUAAAGGAUCCUGUAAAGGGCCAUUUCUUUGUGGACUCUGAAACCAGCUUUAAACCAAUUCCAAGAGAUACUCCGAAAAUGUUUAGGGGAGUCACUGCCUCUGUCUGCAGGUGGGCUCUCUGAAGCUGACAUUCAUUUAGAGAAAGAAAAAUUCCAGGAUGUUUAUUCAACUCUGUAAGUCUCCUUCUUUAAAUAUCUUCAGAAAUAUCUUUCUAAAUUCAGAGUUAUCCAAAGCUUACAAGAGGAGGGAAGCAACAGACCAGCCCCCUUAUGUUUCCUUAUAAAACUCACCUGGGUGAUGGAGCUGUUUCUAGUCCCAGUUAGCUAUAAGGCAAAGGAGAGCAACUGCCAUCAGCGUUUGCGGUAAAUGCUAUCAGAAUCAUGUUUGAAAUCCUCAACUCUGACGGUUCUCAGAAAUAAAAUAAGCAAGUAACCAACAACACACACACACACCUCCCUCCAGGUCUAUUUCUCACUUGUAUCAUUUUAUUUUUUGGCAAUCCCAAUCAAUUCCGCUGAGCCACUGGAUGAAAACAAAAGCUAUGAGAAAUACGAUGACAGCAUUAGUACUCAAAGAUUCCUCAAUCUGUCUCCCUGGAACACAUUUGUGUCAAAAGCCUGGGCAGUCACAUGAAUUCAAGACAGUGCUUCAAAAACAGCUGCUAGGAUAAAAUACUAUCAAUAAUAAAGUUUAUGAGAUGAGGCCAGUGUUUUCAUACUUACUCUUUCAACGUGCACUGCCCAUUGCCUUUAUGGAGCCAUGGUCAAAAGAAACAGCUUUCAUCAAUUUCCAGCCUGACCAUUUGGAAACUGCCAGUAAACCAAGGCUGUGAAGUUGGACAGAAGUCUGGAAACUAGUGUUCAUGAGAUUUUUUCCCUCAUUCACUAUUAUCUGUCCCUUAUAAUAAAAAUACAAGUCUAAAGACAUUAA
rnacentral:lncRNA from 1 species